CGCGGGCAGCGGCGGCCGAGGCGGAUUCGUGCGCCCGAGGUUUUCUGCCUCUGGUCUCUCUCGGCCCUCCGGCCCCAGAGCCGCCCCUCGCCUGCGAUCUCGGGAUCCAGGCAUUUCGUACUUCAGGAGGAAUUUGAGUUACUCCGGAGUGAUGUUUGGCUUAGAUGUGAGAUUUUUGUGAAAGGUCACGUUGCAGAAAUAGACUUCAAAAUUGGCAUAUUCCAGCUAAAGAGCAGGGGGACCAGGAGCCAAGCUUAAAGGGACAGUUAGAAAAUUGUGAAUUAAGUGCAAGGAACCCGAAGGGAAAGGAGGCAGGGGAGCAUGAAACCAUUACAUGGAUGUUGGACUGCCUUUUGCUGUCUGCAGAAGAUUGCAUGGAAUAAGCUCCAAAGUGUCACUGGUAGCAUGUGCCACAGAUGCAACAUCAUCAGUAAAAUGCCAGAUUUCCUGAAGGCAGGAAUAAUGUUGCUCCCCUAUAAUUCAGCAUCAUCCCUGUGAAGCACAAGCUAAUUCCAUGUAUCACAAAGCUCUUUGUUUUACUUUUCCAUUACGUUCAGAUGAAACAGUUCACACUGAAAAUUAGAGACAUUAACUGCAUGAACCAAGGAUAGAUUCCAAAAGAAGAUGCAGGAGAUACAAAAACGUCUUUCUUUUUAGGUCAACCAGAAUUUCAUUGUGUAUCAACGCCUGAAAUCCCUUUCUACGUAAACAUAAAAAGGGGAGUAGGAAUAGGAAGAAACUUCUACUCUGGAAGAGUUGUGCCCCUUCAGACAUAGCAGUACCAGUGGUCAUGAGAUUUUCCUUCUUCAGAUCUGAGUUUGUAAAUCUGACACCUCUCGUUUGCCUAUAAAAUACAGCAGUCACAAAGAUGUUUGGCAGCCUAUGCUAACACUAAUAAUAUUCAGCAAUAGUUCAACUAUUAGAUCUUAUUUUUUCUUCCCUUCCCACUUCUCUUUGCCAAGUCCACUUUUUUGGCUGCCCUUUCUUUUGCAGUGUAAGAUCUUUGAGGCAGGAAAUAAGCCUUUCUGCUGUAGUUUAUAGAUGUUAAACACAGAAGGGCUCUGGUCCACCACAAAACCACUAAGAUCAUGAUGCAGAUUAUACAAAUAAGCCCAAGACAGAUUCUAUGUUGGUUAUAAUUAAAUAAAUCUUCCCCAAAUUAUGUAUGGAUCCUUUGAAAAAUAAGAUCAGGCCACAUUGUCUUAUAUUCAUCAAGCAAUAGAAUAUAUCUAUGUUGCUGAAAGAUGAUACUUGCUAGAGGCUUAGACAAGGCAUUCCAUAUUUGUGACAUGAUUUAACUGUGCCUAUCUUUAUUUUGUUUCACCAGGUCUUAAUUUAGACCACUUAAAAGGCUGCUUUACAUAGGCCUCUACUUAUCCAGUCCCUGAAAUCAUCUAGAAGACAGAAGAAUGACCAAAAAGCAAUACAUUAUAAUUGUAUUUUUUAAGAUGAGAAGAGGAUUGAGAAUACUUUGCAUGAAUUGUAGCCCAGACAACUGAUACCUGGGGCAAUAGAAAGAAAUACAAGUUUAAAUGAUGCAGUCAUCAGAAAUGAAAUAGAGUAAUUGCUGUGUAUAGAUUAUUCAAUUAUUAUAAUAACAUUAUAGCCACACAACACCAGUGAUGGAAAAAUUAAAAAUUGAAAAUAAAGUAUCUGCUGACACACAAAAGGGGUGAUCCACUAGAGGGAGACAAACGGAAGAAACUAUUGUAGUUGAAAACAUCAAAGAAAUUAGGUGGAACAAACAGGGAAAGUGUUUAGAGAACUACACAUAGUGAAUUUUUAUUCUUUUUUGCAUGUGUGCGUAAGUAAAUCAGCAUUUUUAUUUCUCUUACUUCUUUGUCAGUAUCACGAAAUGUGUGUUUUGAUGCUCCAAUUUAGUUGUUCUCUUGCACUGGGUGAUUGGGAAUUUGCACAGAAUAGUUUUAUAUUGCACUGUAUAGCUUAUGUUACAUUAUGUGGUUUGUUACCACAUUUCCCCAUCACAUGGUCUUCCCCUCACCUAUCCCGGUACCCCCUGGUGGUCUCUCCCCUGGGUUACCCCUCCCCUUACCACUCCUCACUGGUGUCCCAUUGACUGUGGACCUCUCCCUCUGUCUCCAUCCCGGGGUAUAAAAGCUCCCUGCCACCAGGGAAUGUCCUUUUUUCUCCCAUAAGUUUGUCCACUUGAUGUAUGUCUUGGAAUAAAGGACAAAGUUUCCCACGCGGAGGAGAGCGCUUCUCAUAUUUUACCUUCAUCUAUGAAGUAUCAUGUGGGCAAGGGUCUGUAGCUAGCUGGAGUGGACCCCAACAGCCCAGGAAACACAAUUCUUCAAAUGUGGAAUUUAAUUUUAAUUUCUUGCCAAGUGGUAGCUCAGGCAAAAGGUUGCCAAUAAAAAUAUGACACCUGUAUUUUACCAACCCUAUUACUUGGUUCUGUAAAGAUUUUUCAUUAUUAACAAGUCUGUGGGAAAGAGCCAUCAUUCAUAUUCUUUCUGUUUCUUGAUGGAAGAAAUGAGUAGUGCAAAAUAUCUUUAAUGAUAGCAGUAUUUCAUAUUGCGUUUAUAGCUCCCAGGGUUUGUAAACAAUUGUUUAUCAAUCUUGUAAUUCAACAAGUUGAUCAACAUACAAAGUCCUCCUGAAAAGUAGGUGAAAUAAAGGAUUUUAGUACAAGACUGACCAACACAUAAAGUUGGUCAGUCCCAAUUUAUGUGGUGGAUUGACCUUGGCCAAGUGCCACUACCUACAGAGAUGCUUGUUUAUUCCCUGUUUCAUGUGAGAGGGAGAUAAAUGAGUGGCUGUGUGGGUGUUCAGGUGUUGGCUCAGGUUCACUUACUACAGUCCUCCUGGACCCAGUACAAAAGUCUUCCUCAUCUCAACAAGAUAUUGAUGCUUUUUGUGGUGACAGUGCAUAUCCUGGGCUGCCUAGUGUUGCUCUAACUGGAGCAAAUAGAAACGUCACCAAAGUUUGAGCAGCCAGCAGAAGGUCCACAUUAUACUCAGAAAAAAUAGCAGACAGCCUGAAAGGACAUUUCCUCUUAACCUAAGGCAGGUAUGGUUCAGAUGAAUUUCUUUGAAACAUCUGUUUCCUUCCAGUGGGAACUUUACCUCACUAGCUCAGGUCAAAUGGGUUACUCUGAACACCCAAAGGCAGAUGAGGCAAACCCAACUAACUACUUACAUCUUUGUCUGAUUUGAAUUGCUCUUUUUUGUAUGCAUUUGAAACCUCUUCAGCUGUGACAAUUGACAUGCCCUGUAUUAUAGUUCCCCCUUAUCCUAGAAUUAAAGAUUUUCCCCUACUUUUGCUUUUAUAUUCUCAGUGUUUUUUUCCUGUGUUCUGACACUAUUUGGAAUAAUACAUACCACUUUAUUUGGUAGCAGUUAUUACAGCUGUCUCCUGCUGUACUGGUUAAGCUGUGGGCUGAGACAGCCCAGCAAAAGAAAAAAACCUGAAAAUUCAUCAGUGACCUGAGCUAAAUUUUCUCAUGCUUCUAUGCUUACUUCUCCAGUUUAUAGAUAAUCACCAUAUGUAGCUCAAAGUAUUUGCACUCCUCUCCCUUUAUUGAUGAAAAGGAUAUUUUUUUGUUGAGGAGCAGAAAGAAAACUUUCCUUACUUGUUUGUCAGGACAAAAUACAGAUACUGGGUCACUAAUUAUCACCAAAGGAGUAUCAGGGACAGACAAAGGUGAUACAGAGACUUUAUCAUCAGAAGGUAUGAAAAGGCACUUUAUUAUUAGAAAUUCACAGUUCUUAUAGAAACAAUGACUUGAUUGGCUUUUAGGAAUCUUCUCUCACUUACUGGUCAAGAAGGGACAACUCCUUCUUGUAAACAUCUUUGACAGAGAUUGCCUGUCAGGUGCAGAGAUUGAGAUAAUAAUUAUUUUAAUUCUUUCACUGAGCUUUCUCACAGCUUCUCAGAGUUUCCCAGGAAAAUCCUGGGAGAGCUAUGUCUCUCUCUAUUCAAAGGAUAUGUGAUUACCACACUGCCCCACUUUUAUCCAAAGAAAUCCAAUAAAAAUGUGUCUCAUUGUUUGUAACUUUUAGAGUAUUUAUUUUCAUUGGGGUUUUUUUGCACAACUGGAGGCCCUAAAGUUUUGAAGAAAAAGGACUUUGCUCAGGAGGAGUUCAGUGACACCACUGCAUGGCUAAAUAUGCCCUCCUGUAUUUUAAAUCCAUCCUUCUCUCCUUCCUUCCUUCUCUCUCUACCACUUUUCUCUUCUGUCUGAUCCUCCUUCCUUUCCUUCUUUAUUCCUUCUCUCUUCCCUUUGUCCUCUUACUGCUUCUCUUCCAGGCCUUUUAAUCUGCUAACUGUGUUUUGUUUCCCACAUAACCACACAACUUCUCAACAUUCUAUUUUUCUUUAUACUACCUCUGUUUCUUCUGCUGGACUGCAUUAUCACUGCUACUCAUGCAUUGCACAUUAGAAAUCCCAAAUCUUGUCAGUGAAGUUGGAUUCAAAAUUUUGAUUGAGGGCAGGGCUCCAUCUCAUCUUACUGAAAACAGCAGACUUAACUCUGCCUAAGACAAUCUAACCCUAACCCACAUUUGAGACUCACAUUAGAGCACCGCAGUAGGUUCUGCAACUUUUAACCUGAAAGGCAGGAAGUUACUGGAAAACAAGCUCCUGUUUUGCAGUCCCAGUGGAUAACACCCACUUGGAUGAAGUUGCCAUCUGUUGUUUUCUUGGGUUAUGUCAGAAUA